UACGUAGGGUGCGAGCGUUGUCCGGAAUUACUGGGCGUAAAGGGCUCGUAGGUGGUUUGUCGCGUCGUCUGUGAAAUUCCGGGGCUUAACUCCGGGCGUGCAGGCGAUACGGGCAUAACUUGAGUACUGUAGGGGUAACUGGAAUUCCUGGUGUAGCGGUGAAAUGCGCAGAUAUCAGGAGGAACACCGAUGGCGAAGGCAGGUUACUGGGCAGUUACUGACGCUGAGGAGCGAAAGCAUGGGUAGCGAACAGGAUUAGAUACCCUGGUAGUCCAUGCCGUAAACGGUGGGCGCUAGGUGUGAGGGUCUUUUCACGACUUUCGUGCCGUAGCUAACGCAUUAAGCGCCCCGCCUGGGGAGUACGGCCGCAAGGCUAAAACUCAAAGGAAUUGACGGGGGCCCGCACAAGCGGCGGAGCAUGUGGAUUAAUUCGAUGCAACGCGAAGAACCUUACCUGGGCUUGACAUACACUGGACCGCUGCAGAGAUGUAGCUUCCCUUUGUGGCUGGUGUACAGGUGGUGCAUGGUUGUCGUCAGCUCGUGUCGUGAGAUGUUGGGUUAAGUCCCGCAACGAGCGCAACCCUUGUCCUAUGUUGCCAGCAUUUGGUUGGGGACUCAUGAGAGACUGCCGGGGUCAACUCGGAGGAAGGUGGGGAUGACGUCAAAUCAUCAUGCCCCUUAUGUCCAGGGCUUCACACAUGCUACAAUGGUCGGUACAACGCGCAGCGACACUGUGAGGUGGAGCGAAUCGCUGAAAGCCGGCCUUAGUUCGGAUUGGGGUCUGCAACUCGACCCCAUGAAGUCGGAGUCGCUAGUAAUCGCAGAUCAGCAAUGCUGCGGUGAAUACGUUCCCGGGCCU
rnacentral:rRNA from 1 species